ensembl:lncRNA
CGCGCACCACGCUGUCCGGAAAAAAAAAGGUGCUGAAAUGUCGUCACUUCCGGGAGGCAUUCCUAGCCUGGGAAAAAAAAAGCGGGGCUGGGAGCUCUCUGUACAAACAACACGCCGGAGAGUGAUCAGCCAUGUCAUAAGACAACACUGAAAUCAGACUGAAUCUGUCAUCGGUUCAUAAAUUCAAUCUUUGUCAUUUUUUUCCCCCAGGACUGACCGACACGUAUAUCCACGAAGCCGUGCAUGAACUGGAAAACACUGACGUUUAGCCGAAUAGCUCAUUCAAGACAAAAGCUCCAGCAGGUGCAGCCCACAGCCAUAUGGCAUAGGCAGAUCAGGACCCGAC